rnacentral:lncRNA from 1 species
CCGAGUACUUAGAUGAGAGUUCAUUUUGUGAUCUCUUUUUCUUGGAGCUGCUUUAUAAUCAUUAAGUCUCACUCUUAUGCUACCGAUCUUAUAACAUCAAAAUAGUUUAGAGAAAUCAACAUUUGGUUCUGGAACAAGCUCACAUCAAUUCACUUAGAGUAUCAAAGUAUCAAGUUUUGUUUAACAAUGUUAGUAUCAUUAGUCUCCACAUCCAUAUGCCUAAAAAAAUAAAAAAAUAAACACAAGAAAUAAAAAACAGAUGUUGGGAGCCAAGUAACAUCCUAAGUCCCAUCAUCUAUGACAUGCAAACAUUUACAUGCAACACAAAUCGAGAGACUUCCUAAGAUGGAAAAAUCUCUCAAAAUCUAAUGCUUUAGUUAAGAUAUCUGCAAAUAAUUUUGUAGUAGUGAUGUGCUCCAACCCAAUCAGCUUUUUUCUCAACAAGAUCUCCAAUAAAGUGAUGACGAAUGUCAAUGUGUUUUGUGUGAGGAUGAUGA